rnacentral:lncRNA from 1 species
ACAGAAUCAGAUAUACCUUACCUCGAUCGGAAAGCCGUGUGGAGGGUGUCUCUGGAGGUAAAGAUUUGAGUGCACUUCACGUGGACCACCGCGUGAGAGUGAGACUCAGCCAACGCCAAGGCAUGGCUAGAUUUUCAAAUGUAAAAAUAUGUUCAUGUGUGUACUACACUGAACAGCCUUGGCGGUCUCGAUCAGAUGCCUAGGCCAAGGCAUCCCCGGGAAUGAUUUUGGUAGGAGCCAAUUUCUGUGAAAUACAUAAGCCAAGUUGAUUAUUUGAGUAAAUUGAUUAUUGAUGUUAUGAAAAACAUACUGGAAUGGAAUAUCUUACUUGUCUCCAUUUACUCGAUUUUAGAUGGUUUAGAUGGUAUCUGUUUACUCACUGGGAUUUUAU